CCUACGGGAGGCAGCAGUGAGGAAUAUUGGUCAAUGGACGAGAGUCUGAACCAGCCAAGUAGCGUGAAGGAUGACUGCCCUAUGGGUUGUAAACUUCUUUUAUAUGGGAAUAAAAUGGGGCACGUAUGCCCUUUUGUAUGUAUCAUAUGAAUAAGGAUCGGCUAACUCCGUGCCAGCAGCCGCGGUAAUACGGAGGAUCCGAGCGUUAUCCGGAUUUAUUGGGUUUAAAGGGAGCGUAGGUGGCUUGUUAAGUCAGUUGUGAAAGUUUGCGGCUCAACCGUAAAAUUGCAGUUGAAACUGGCAGUCUUGAGUACAGUAGAGGUAGGCGGAAUUCGUGGUGUAGCGGUGAAAUGCUUAGAUAUCACGAAGAACUCCGAUUGCGAAGGCAGCUCACUGGACUGCCACUGACACUGAUGUUCGAAAGUGUGGGUAUCAAACAGGAUUAGAUACCCGGGUAGUC
rnacentral:rRNA from 1 species